rnacentral:lncRNA from 1 species
GAGCCAGGAGCUCAAGAGUCUCUCUCUGAGUGCAGAGAGAGAAGGGCCUGACUGCAGGGAGCUAGACAGGAUACCUGAGUGGAGCAGGGCUGGGGAAAGGCUGGGGAGCUCCAGCCUGGAUAGCCCCAGGCUGUGGCCUGGUAAUAGGUCAAGGGGUACUGAGGGUUGCAGAGGGCAGCCCAGGGCUAGGCCAAGGCAGCAGGUCUGAACCCAACCUUGCCGAUGAUGAGUGGCCUAUACUGCAGUCUGCCCCAGAGAGUGGGGGCUAGCUGGUGACUGGCAGUGGCCUUAUCCUGAGGUGAGGUGGGCUUAGUGGGUGGGGGUUCCCCUGGGAGGGGAGACCUAGCGUGUGUGGAUACUGCCAGGGGGCAGCACCCAGAGCAAGGGGCACCGGGGUCCUGGGAGGGACAUGGGAGCCUGAGUGCAGAGGACAGGCGGAUCACUGGCCUGCAGAGGGCGCUCCAGAGGCUGGAGAACUAAUUCCCUGGACGACCAGCAGGAGGCGCCGCAGGGGUGAGUCUUACACUUGUACAUUGGACAUAGUCCAGAACCUAAAAGAAUGCUGAAUUAGAUAUUCUACAAGUUUUUAAUUUUAAUAUUCUGUCAGAAGCAAUUGACUUUACCCAUUUUCUCUCUUCUCCAAAACAUCCAGAAGCAUUUCCUUUAUGGUUUUUACAGCAACAUGUUAGGUGCAAGUCAAAGAUUCAGUGAAGUUUUAUUUCCUGUUGGCUGUUUCCUUUCUUUCCUGUUUCCAAAGUCACUUUGCUUUUAAUUUAUGAUUUCUAGCAGCCUGACGAGAGUACAAGAUAUGGGCUGCAGUUUUUAGGACCCGUGGGGGCUGAGCUUUUGGUACUUUCUGGUACAGGUUCCUGGCCUUGUUAUCAGGGUCUAUCACCUGAGGAAGCAUUUCCUGUGCCCCACCCUCCAUCAGAAGUGUGGUAUAGGAAAGAAGAGGAGAGACAAAAGCUAUGUUGAAACAGGUAAGUAUUGUAUUAAGGGUGAUUUACAUGAAAGGCAUAAGGGAAAAAACAUAAGUAAACAUAUAAACUCAGUAAACAGUGGACUGCAACAAAAGAGCUUGAAGCUCAGACCCAAUAUACCCCUCCCAUGGCAACAAGAACAAAACAAAUCCCCAGUAUAUCCUACUGCUAAUCAGAUGUCAUCUAUGGUCAGGUCAGAUGGUAGUGAGUAGUGGGUCCAGGACCUCCUACCCUCGGGCCAAACGCUGGCCUUUGGGAAGAAACUCUGGAUGGUGGUAAGCUGCUUGAUGGUGACAAGCCACCAGAACCGAAGCUGCUGACUGGUGGACCAAAGGACCCUGGAUGGCAGAUAAGUUGAUGGUGACACAGGAUCCUUCACAGCUCUUGAUCCGAAGACCCACACAAACCUGACCGCACACGGCUGCCUCCUGAACGGACAGCACCGUGGUGACGUGGCACAGUUCCUUAUAAAGAGUGAGUGGUGGGAAAGUUCUGAGGGGAUGGCAGUUACAAGGCACUUCCAAGUGGUUUGAACCAGCCCUCAAGCCACAGCUUUGGCGCCUUAAUUUUCCCACCUCUGAAGACAAAAUGGAGAUUUGACUCCAUUUUGAAAAGUACCAAAGUCCAUAUUAAUAAGAAGAAACCAUAUAAAAACUUUAUCCUAAACAUUUAAAAUCACUUUAUAUAAUAAGUCACCAACAGUAUCUAACAUUAUACGGGUUUGUGUCCAAACCCUGUAUAUUUAAGGGCUCUAAAAGCUUUGUAUUGCACAUUAAUAUGGGUAAUCUAGGUGUAUUAGUCCUGCUUAAUGACUAGAAAACUUUUACAGUUGUUUGAAACAGCUUUAUAAAGUGAAUCUGCAACUUGAACGUCUAAAAUCCAGCAACUGUCUCUGUAGGAAGUAGUAUCUCAAAAUGCACCAAUUACAUCACUUCAAUUCAAUUAGCAUGCUUUCUGUUAGCUAUUGUUUGUUAUACCAAAGCCAUAAAUAUUUAAUUGGCAUAGCAUAUAUAUAAAAUUACCUAAAAACUGAUAAACUGAUCAGAUUAUUUGCUAAAUAGGCUAAGCACUGAGGGUUAAUUUUUUUUUUUUUUUUUUUUUUUUGUAGAUUAGUAUAUCAAAAAUUGUCUUUCCGAAUGGAUAAAAAACCUGCCUCUGUAACUAGAAAGUACAAAGGUGUCUCCUGGACUUCAAAACAAAUUAUGAGGAAUUCAUUGCUUAGCGAUAACACAGUGAGACAUUGGUUAUAAAAUGCCAAUUAUUCACAUUCAUUUAAUAAAAUAGAUUUAUAAUGUGUAAACUUCA